rnacentral:rRNA from 1 species
AACGAGCGCUGGCGGCAGGCUUAACACAUGCAAGUCGAGCGCCCCGCAAGGGGAGCGGCAGACGGGUGAGUAGCGCGUGGGAAUCUACCCAUCUCUACGGAAUAACGCAUGGAAACGUGUGCUAAUACCGUAUACGUCCUUCGGGAGAAAGAUUUAUCGGAGAUGGAUGAGCCCGCGUUGGAUUAGCUAGUUGGUGGGGUAAAGGCCUACCAAGGCGACGAUCCAUAGCUGGUCUGAGAGGAUGAUCAGCCACACUGGGACUGAGACACGGCCUAGACUCCUACGGGAGGCAGCAGUGGGGAAUAUUGGACAAUGGGCGCAAGCCUGAUCCAGCCAUGCCGCGUGAGUGAUGAAGGCCCUAGGGUUGUAAAGCUCUUUCACCGGUGAAGAUAAUGACGGUAACCGGAGAAGAAGCCCCGGCUAACUUCGUGCCAGCCGCCGCAGUAAGAC